GACGAACGCUGGCGGCGUGCCUAAUACAUGCAAGUAGAACGCUGAAGAGAGGAGCUUGCUCUUCUUGGCUGAGUUGCGAACGGGUGAGUAACGCGUAGGUAACCUGCCUUGUAGCGGGGGAUAACUAUUGGAAACGAUAGCUAAUACCGCAUAACAAUGGAUGACACAUGUCAUUUAUUUGAAAGGGGCAAUUGCUCCACUACAAGAUGGACCUGCGUUGUAUUAGCUAGUAGGUGAGGUAAUGGCUCACCUAGGCGACGAUACAUAGCCGACCUGAGAGGGUGAUCGGCCACACUGGGACUGAGACACGGCCCAGACGCCUACGGGAGGCAGCAGUAGGGAAUCCUCGGCAAUAGGGGCAACCCUGACCGAGCAACGCCGCGUGAGUGAAGAAGGUUUUCGGAUCGUAAAGCUCUGUUGUAAGUCAAGAACGGGUGUGAGAGUGGAAAGUUCACACUGUGACGGUAGCUUACCAGAAAGGGACGGCUAACUACGUG
rnacentral:rRNA from 1 species